UACAGAGGUCUCGAGCGUUGUUCGGAUUCAUUGGGCGUAAAGGGUGCGUAGGUGGCUAGGUAAGUCGGAUGUGAAAUCCCGGGGCUCAACCCCGGAACUGCAUUCGAUACUGCCUGGCUAGAGUACUGGAGAGGAGAUUGGAAUUUACGGUGUAACGGUGAAAUGCGUAGAUAUCGUAAGGAAGACCAGUGGCGAAGGCGGGUCUCUGGACAGUUCCUGACGCUGAGGCACGAAGGUCAGGGGAGCAAACGGG
rnacentral:rRNA from 1 species